rnacentral:rRNA from 1 species
ACGAACGCUGGCGGCGUGCUUAACACAUGCAAGUCGAACGGUGAAGCUCCAGCUUGCUGGAGUGGAUCAGUGGCGAACGGGUGAGUAACACGUGAGCAACCUGCCCCUGACUCUGGAAUAAGCGCUGGAAACGGCGUCUAAUACUGGAUACGAGAAGGGUCCGCAUGGGCACUUUCUGGAAAGUUUUUCGGUUGGGGAUGGGCUCGCGGCCUAUCAGCUUGUUGGUGAGGUAAUGGCUCACCAAGGCGACGACGGGUAGCCGGCCCGAGAGGGCGACCGGCCACACUGGGACUGAGACACGGCCCAGACUCCUACGGGAGGCAGCAGUGGGGAAUAUUGCACAAUGGGCGAAAGCCUGAUGCAGCGACGCCGCGUGAGGGAUGACGGCCUUCGGGUUGUAAACCUCUUUCAGCAGGGAAGAAGCGAAAGUGACGGUACCUGCAGAAGAAGCACCGGCUAACUACGUG